rnacentral:rRNA from 1 species
AGCGAACGCUGGCGGCAGGCUUAACACAUGCAAGUCGAGCGCCCCGCAAGGGGAGCGGCAGACGGGAGAGUAACACGUGGGAACGUACCCUUCAGUUCGGAACAACCCAGGGAAACUUGGGCUAAUACCGAAUACGUCCGUAAGGAGAAAGAUUUAUCGCUGAAGGAUCGGCCCGCGUCUGAUUAGCUAGUUGGUGAGGUAACGGCUCACCAAGGCGACGAUCAGUAGCUGGUCUGAGAGGAUGAUCAGCCUCACUGGAACUGGGACACGGCCCAGACUCCUACGGGAGGCAGCAGUGGGGAAUAUUGGACAAUGGGCGCAAGCCUGAUCCAGCCAUGCCGCGUGAGUGAUGAAGGCCUUAGGGUUGUAAAGCUCUUUUAACGGGGAAGAUAAUGACGGUACCCGUAGAAUAAGCCCCGGCUAACUUCGUGCCAGCCGCCGCGGUAA